UUGCGCGCCCUUGACAUCUAACUUGUGCUCGAUGAUGAAGCGGGCGGAUGCAGCCCGCUGUGUUGCGCUCAGGAGCCUAAUUUCAUAAAGUAACUCUGCGCCACCAGUGUCAAAUGNNNNNNUUCAGGGUCAGUGUUAGAUUGAACAAGAGAUUCACGAACCUGAGCUGCAACCACUAGACGGUUCUGCUCUACCCCGGAAAUGCCCGUAGCUUCCUCAAUGGAUGGAGGGGUAAAGCCUUCUCGAAUGAGGCAGGGAAUUAAAGGUGCGUACUCAUACCAGAGGCCAAGGCGAUUGGGAAGGAUAUCGAGACGAGAGGCAGUGUCGAGGGAGCGAUACUGGGAAGGGAGAGGGGAAGGAGGAGGUCUAAAGGGCUGGUAUAAUUGCUGCUUAGGAGCUGGAGAGGCGGGGAAUAGAGAGGCUGAUAUGGGUUUUAAAGGGGCUUUUGGGGAGGGCGAUUGGAAGAUAAAGAGAGGAAAGCAAGGGCCAAGGAAAGAAGAAGAGAAAGGUUUAUUGGAAUUGGAAAGAGCGAUGGUUGUGAGGGUGUUCACAGUUGCAGAGAACAUGGUUUGAAAACUGAAGAGGAAAAGAGGUUCAAACUUCAAUGGAAGAAGACGCCUG
rnacentral:misc_RNA from 1 species